rnacentral:snRNA from 1 species
GUGCUCACUUCGGCAGCACAUAUACUAAAAUUGGAACAAUACAAAGAAGAUUAGCAUGGUCCCUACACAAGGAUGAUACGCAAAUUCGGGAAGCAUUCCAUAAAAAA